GGAUCCUACGGGGCGCAGCAGUGGGGAAUAUUGCACAACGGGGGAAACCCUGAUGCAGCGACGCCGCGUGAAGGAUGAAGUAUUUCGGUAUGUAAACUUCUAUCAGCAGGGAAGAAAAUGACGGUACCUGACUAAGAAGCCCCGGCUAACUACGUGCCAGCAGCCGCGGUAAUACGUAGGGGGCAAGCGUUAUCCGGAUUUACUGGGUGUAAGGGGAGCGUAGACGGCAAGACAAGCCUGGAGUGAAAGGCGGGGGCCCAACCCCCGGACUGCUCUGGGAACUGUCUGGCUGGAGUGCCGGAGGG
rnacentral:rRNA from 1 species